AUGGGCUCGAAGCUCCUCAGCUAUGUGGCCUUCUGCCUCUUGGGAGUAGGCCCCUUGGAGACGGCUGUUCUCCAGACCCCAAAAUAUCUUGUCACACAGGUGGGAAAUGACGUGUCUCUCAAGUGUGAGCAAAAUCUGGGCCACGAUGCUAUGUUCUGGUACAAGCAAGACUAUGAGCUGAAGAUUAUGUUCAGCUACAAUAAUAAACAACGCAUUUUAAACGAAACGGUCCCAAGCCGCUUCUCACCUCAGGCUCCGGAUAAAGCCCAUUUGAAUCUUCAUGUGAAGUCUGUAGAGCGGGAUGACUCAGCUGCCUAUUUCUGUGCCAGCAGCUAUGACACAGUCAUGCAGAGAAGCCGUUUUCCUGUGCACAAACCCAGCCAGCCAGGAAGCAGAGGAGACCGAGUGUUAACCCACACCCGAGCUCCAUGUCACCUCCACCCCCCGCCUGGUACUUUUGGAAGCCCAAUGAUGUCUCAGCCUACAGCCCUGCCUCCUGUGAUAAUACCUGAGGUGAAUCAGUGUUGUGUUUCAUGCACAGGCGAGUCUCAGAAUUCUGCAGACUAG